GGUUCUGAGGGUAGAGAAUGAGGGGCAGAUAAUUCGAGUCAGUAAAAAUGUUGGUUUUUACUCUUUAUUGGAUUUUUGAAUCUGUCUCCAUCCCCUCCUGACUUCCGGUUCCUGGCAAUUCUCAGCCUCAGCCCCUGUCUCAGGUAGAAGUUUCUGUGUCAGCCUCAGCCCCUGAUCACCUAUCCCCAAACCAGAGUGGCAGGGCCAGCCCUGCCCCCUUGUGAGAUGGGAGGCGGAUGAGCAUUGACUCUUUGUCAACGUAGAUAAUGUUUCUCCCCACACUUUUUUUUUUUUUUUUUGAAUUUUUGAGGAAGUUGAAGUAUCAGGAUUCCAGCAGAAAACAGAUGGCCCAUUCAAGGGAGGUAAUUGAUAAGAAUUGGGCCUGUUUACAAAGAAGUAGUCUGGGGUCAAGGAAGCCAAAAAAGAAUUGAAACCAAAGCAUGAAGACAAGUCCUUUCCAGGACAAACGUCUGCUCCUUGUGGGUGCCUCAGCUUGUCCACCUCUGAUCAGAAGACCUCUUUGAAGCUACCAAUUGAAGGUGACCAAUCUUCUCUUGUACCAAAAGCGCCUGACCUUAUGUCUUGCAAUAAAAAAUUCCAACACACAA